UUAUAGCAAUUGAUAUGUGAAAAGUUAAACUGAGAGCAACAAACAACAACAAAAAAAGCAACCAAGUGGCGUUCCGACGAAGAUCUCUGAGCUUCGGCAUGGCGGUGGCGAUUUAUGGCAAGUCAAAAAGAAAUUAGGAAAUGAAGAUUGAGUUCAACUUCUUAUAACUACAUUGUGAAGCUUUUAAAAGUUAUAUGGACAAGCUUUUAAUGAAGGUUAUGUGAGAAAGUUGUUGUGAUUUUGGUUUUGUAUGUGUUAUUUGGUUGUUGCUCAGGAAAUGUUCUUCAGUGUAGAGAAAUAGAUAGGUUAUAUAGGAUACACUUUAGGGUUUUCAAUUGUAAGUGUGUGAAUUAUCAGUGUGAGGUUUGUAUGAGUUGAAAAUUGGAUAAAAAUCGGUGAGUCGAAUUGACGGGAUUUGGCCCUGAUUUUGUGAUGUUUGGGGGAGAAGCUCGUGUAAGUUUGGUGAACUGUUAUGAGUAGUGGAAUUGAGGGAUUGUUAGGAAGACCAUUUGCAUAAUUUUUUUGGGUAAUUUUCACCGUAGUUGUUACUGUUGUAAUUGUAGUAAAUCCAGUUUGUAAUGACUUCAUAAUUCACAAUUAUGAUGAAAUUCAAAUUAGGCUUUGUGUUCAA